CCUCCUUUUUCCCAAAAUCGGUUCCCCCCAUCCCCAGAAAUCUCUUUUUUCCCCAUUUUAUUUUUCCCAAACCAUUUCUCCCCUACCCCGAUUCCCUUUAUUUUUCCCCCCAAAUUCCCCAAAUUGGCAGCCCUCUGCAUCUCCUCAAAGGGUACAGAUUCUUCUUCUCUUAUAGUUAAAAAGCUAUCAUUUUUCAACCAAAUCCAAACCCUAAAUUGCGUCUCUCCCAAUUUUUUAUUCACUUUGAGGUUUUCUUGCAAGAGUUUAUAGAGAGGUGAGACCAAGUAAUUUUGGGUUACAACAGAGAAACUAAAGUAACGAAAAAGGUGGAUAUAGGUGGGAUCUUGGGUAACCGAGAUUCGAAGCUAGGCAAAUCAAGCAUACCCAGGAGAUGACAAUGGGUUAAAAGAAGAGAAACAUGGGUGGUUAUACUUGGUGUCAUCCUCCAUGCCGUUUACAUGUUAAGCAUUUUCGACAUCUACUUCAAGACCCCCAUUGUUCAUGGCAUGGAUCUUGUCUCCCAUCGCUUCUCUCCUCUUGCUAAACGUCUUGUUCUUCUUGUUGGAAAACGAAGCUUGAUGAAGUUGGAUUGAGAAACAAAUAAGAAAACCAACGGAUUUAUCAACUCUCCAUAGCCCGCACACCAGCAAGAAGCUUGAGAGAAAAUUAGAAAUGUGUAUAUUAGUUAUUCAGUUUAUUUUUUGCCUUAAAAUAUAUAUUAAAAUUUCAAUUUUAAUAUUUUGAGAAAUAAUUAAGAUUUUAAAUCAAAAUAAUUUGAAUUAUGCUAUUUAGCUCGUGUUUUGUUUUUUUAUAAAUAAAUAUUAAUUUAUCAUUUGAGUCUACAAAUAUUUUGAUUAUUGUUGUUUAUAUAAUAAUUAAUUUUAUUGAAACUGUAUAAAAAUUCUAAAAAAAAAAGUAGUAGUGUUGGAUAGAUUUUACAAAUUCAAGAUCUAAUCUAAAUUACUAUUUUAAUUACUGUUGUUCUAAAAAAAAAGUAGUAGUGUUUACAAUUUUAAACUGUAUUUUAAAUUCACCUAAAAUUUGUUGAAUUUGUUUUUGAUUCCCAUAUUGGUUUCAUAUACUUAUGUCCUUAAUAUUGCAGUUGCUGACCUCGUAUUGAGAAAAAUAUUUUAUAUAAUCUCUCUUCAAAUUAGCAUUUAUGCGUUGUGUGCUCAAAAGGCAUGGAUCUUUUAUCUUAUCUGGCUGUUACUUAGUGAGAUAAACUACGUAUGCUUCUACUCUUCAGCUUCUAGUAUGUCUCCGCAUGUUAAUGCGUAAAUGUGUUUGUGAGAACAUCAGCAAAGAUGAUAUUCAAAAGCUGUUUCCUAGUGAGGUUCUUCCUGAAUUAGUAAGACUGUUGACACUUUUGCUGCAAAAGUUUCAAAGAGAAUGUCGUGCAGAUGUACACAUGGAUAAGGUUUCUUUGCCACGCUUAAAGACAAUGGCUUGGAAUUUGCCAUGGAUGCCUUUAUGUUACAGAUUGGAGAUUUUCACAUGUAUGGAAUUGGCUCCAAAAUGAUAUGCAGUGUCUACAAGAGUCGGAUUUGUCAUUCCAAUUAGCCAAAGAAACACUGGAUACAAUGCUGAAGUCUGUGUACAGUAUAAGAGAUCAGUUGUCGAAUAUGGGUGAGACAUAAAAUGGACUUUUCUGCCUGGAAAUCAAUGCAAUGUAAUUUACCGUUUGUACACAUAAAAUGGUGCAGGCAAACUACUUCCCUCAAAAUCAACUGCUUUUUUAAAAAAAAAAAAAAACCUGCGUAUGUGAAGAAAGCAGCGGAUCAUGUUGCGUUGACUUUUCAUUUUCCCCUAAACUUUAAACUCUCCGUCAAACAACCGGUUAACUCCUGGAAUCUUGCGGUUGCUCAAGCUUGAAAAGUCACUUGGCAAAGAAGCCAUGAAUAAAUUUAGCAACCUCGGAAUCGAGGGUUUCAAAAAGAUUUUCUCAUCUGAUAAGCUCAGUCAAGGCAGCAAGCUUCAAAGUAUCACAACAUUGGCUUUGCUUGCGGAGGCAGUUUCAGAUUCACAAGCCAAGUGUGCCGCUCUCAUCACUGAAUCAUCUAAUUCAGAGUCUUCCCAGGCUGGUGCUUCUUUGGAAUCUCUUGCUAAGGGUACUAAGAACUCAAUGGGCUUGUCAACAAUUGCACUGAAUUGCACAGAAGCAAAAAUUGUGAGAGUGGAGGUGGGGGAAAGAAGAUGAAAGCAAAAAGGGAACUUGGUGAUAGUGUAGACGGGGAACGAGACUUAAAAUGGCAGAGGGUUGUCGAUUCACCAUCUUCACCUCUUGAAGAGUCACUUGUGCCUUAUAAUGACGAUGAAGAUGAUGAAAGGAGAGCAUUAAAUCACAUAGGCAGCAGAGAAGAAGAUGGUCAUAGAGUUGAAAGUGAAGAAGAAGAUGAAGAUGAUCCAUAUGGGCUAGGAUCAACUCCAGGGAGGUCAAAUCGCCGUUUUAGUAUAUAAAUUUUCAAGUUUAUUACUGUACAUUUUGAACUUGUGCCUUUUUUUUUUGCAAUCAAUUAGUUGAACUAUUUGAAUUUGUAAUUUUGCUAUUUAAAUAUUAACAUGAUUUUUCAAUAUUUUAACUAAAAAAAUUAAUUUAUUAGAUGAUUAAA